ensembl:lncRNA
CCUGGGAAUGCUGAACCAACUCAGAAUGUUCCGGUACAUUUACAGGGGUGAAAAAUGCCAUCAACAUAGGGAAACAGGGAAAGUGUAACUAUUGAGCAAAACAAACUCUUCAGAAUAUUCGGUUUAACUCUUGCCCUUGUGUAGGGGCAGAAGUCUGAGGGGGGACGGGGGAGAGGACAGCUGAGGAGAGGAAGUGUCACCAGGGUGACAAUGGGCGGUUCUGCAGACCUGGGUCCUGGAGCUGGCAGGUGGGGAAAGACUAACCUCGGUGGAGAGAACUUCAUUGCACAUCAAAGCCACCUGGGAAACUUGCCCAGAAAGCUCCUAUGUAAGCUUCCACCAUUUUGAUUCAAUCAGUCCAGGACUCUGAGGGGACUGAGAAGCAGAGAAGAACCUACUGCUCCCUGGUGCCCAUUUGGUCCCAGGCACAGUGCUACGACAUCAUUCUCUCCUCCAGUCCUUACAUCAACCCUCUGAGGUAAAUGGUGCGGUUCCCAUUUUACCGAUGAGGAAACCGAGGCUCAGGGAGGUAGUGUUGGGUGCCCGAAGCCUCACAGCCAGGCAACGAUGGUGCAUGGAUGGCAAUGCCAGGUAGGAAGGAGUUGGCAGGGAGCUGUUCCCAGGAACAAGUCGUGGGAGUAAGUCAAAUUCUGCAUUACUAGGUGCAAAGUCAAAUGUCAGAGCCGGACCUGAGAUACGCUGAGGCUUCCGAGGGGGCGCUGGCGGUAAAGAAGCCACCUGCCAAUGCCAGGGACAUAAGAAAUCCUCGGCGUGUCCUCCCAGCAUGUCACACACUCCUCACAGGAUAUCAAGGGGAACAGUCAAUCGCUUGAAUAAAGAAAAACAUCAAAAUCCAAUCCCUCUGUAAUCAAAACCCACACCAGCCUUCUUCCCACAGCGCGCACAUCCUCGCUGGCCUGAGCCCUCCUCCCCGGCGCCUUCCCACUGAGCAUGCCAGGCUUCCCUGGUCCUUCAUCAAGCUCCUGGAGCUUGCUCAAACUCAAGUCCAUCGAGUCGGUGAUGCCAUGCAACCAUCUCAUCCUCUGUUGCCUGCUUCUCCUCCUGCCCUCAGUCUUCCCCAGCAUCAGUGUCUUCUCUACUGAGUUGGCUCUUCGCAUCAGGUGAUCAAAGUAUUGGAGCUUCAGCAUCAGUCCUUCCAAUGAGUGUUUGAUCUCCUCGCAGUCCAAGGGACUCUCAAGAGUCUUCUCCAGCACCACAAUUCAAAAGCAUCAGUUCUUCAGUGCUCAGUCUUCUUUAGAAUGAAGAAAUGCCAAAAUCAGGCUUUAAAAAUUCCAGUGGAUUGUCAGUUCUUAACAUUAGCAAGUUAAUAUUUCAAAUAGCAAAUAUAUAAUGAGUUACCAGCUAAUUAUCAGAUUUGCAUAAAGUAAUAUAAUUCAUGGACACAGUGUAAAGCUGUGUUUUGAAAAACUUCUUUCAAUCCUGUCCGUGUAUGAUUCCUUUGGAAGUAACAUGAAAGUCUAAAAUUGAAUACUUCUGUGGGGCGACGUUCGAGCUAACAGUGUUGGCGACUGUGGAGGUUUCCCUUCUGUUAACACGGACCCUCUUGUCCAUAA